rnacentral:rRNA from 1 species
UAGGGAAUCUUCGGCAAUGGACGAAAGUCUGACCGAGCAACGCCGCGUGAGUGAAGAAGGUUUUCGGAUCGUAAAACUCUGUUGGUAGAGAAGAACGUUGGUGAGAGUGGAAAGCUCAUCAAGUGACGGUAACUACCCAGAAAGGGACGGCUAACUACGUCCAG